rnacentral:rRNA from 1 species
UACAGAGGAGCCAAGCGUUGUCCGGAUUGACUGGGCGUAAAGCGCACGCAGGCGGAUGCGCGCGUGGGGUGUGAAAUCUGGCCGCUUAACGGCCAGGCGCCAUCCCAUACGGCGCGUCUGGAGUGAUGCAGAGGUCGAUGGAAUUGCCGGUGUAGUGGUGAAAUGCGUAGAGAUCGGCAGGAACACCCAGGGGGAAACCAGUCGACUGGGCAUCUACUGACGCUGAGACGCGAAAGCGUGGGGAGCGAACAGG